GCUAGAGCCAGAUCUCCCUGCAGCUCUCGCCUGGUUUCCCACUGAAGCUAAGCAGGGUUGAGCCUGGACAGUACGUAGAUGGGAGACCUCCUGGGGAAAACUAAGGUUGCUGCUGGAA
ensembl:rRNA 5S_rRNA 5S ribosomal RNA